rnacentral:rRNA from 1 species
UACAGAGGUCCCAAGCGUUGUUCGGAUUUACUGGGCGUAAAGGGUGCGUAGGUGGUGGUGUAAGUUUGAUGUGAAAGCUUCGAGCUUAACUCGAAAAUGGCAUUGAAUACUGCACUGCUUGAGGGUUGGAGGGGGGACUAGAAUUCUCGGUGUAGCAGUGAAAUGCGUAGAUAUCGAGAGGAACACCAGUGGCGAAGGCGAGUCCCUGGACAAUACCUGACACUGAGGCACGAAAGCUAGGGGAGCAAACAGG